AUCUAAUAAACUGUCCAAAUUAGCUAUAUAUAAACUGAUAAACUGUCCAAAUUAGCUCUAUCCAAAUCUGCUAAACUGUAUAUUUUGUAUAAUCUGAAUAAAAAAGUGAGAUUUUGGUGGUUUGAAAUAACUUUUUGUUUUGUAUAGUCUGAACCCAGCAAAUUCUAUGCAUCUAGCUUGUUUUGGCAAAAUAUCUACACAGAGAAGUUCUCAAGAGUGAAGCCCAUGCAGCUGGUGACCUGGGUGCUGUUGUCCACAGAGCUUACUUCAGAAUGGAUGAAAUGAUGCGAGGUCAAAGAGGAUGGCGGGAGCUUCAAGCACUUGGAGAUAAGAUAAAUCAGUUUAGUGGCAUAAUAGAAGGCUUAAUUUGGUCUCCUAAAGCAAGUGAUUCAAAUGAUAAACAUGAUGAUUGGGCUUUUGAGGAGGGACCACACUCUGAUUUUACUAGGCCAAAUUGUGGGAGUACAACCUGUGUAGCUUUGAUCAGAAAUAAGCAACUCAU